GAUGAACGCUGGCGGCGUGCUUAACACAUGCAAGUCGAACGGAAAGGCCCAAGCUUGCUUGGGUACUCGAGUGGCGAACGGGUGAGUAACACGUGGGUGAUCUGCCCUGCACUUCGGGAUAAGCCUGGGAAACUGGGUCUAAUACCGGAUAGGACCACAUUUUGGAUGGUGUGGUGGAAAGUUUUUCGGUGUGGGAUGAGCUCGCGGCCUAUCAGCUUGUUGGUGGGGUAAUGGCCUACCAAGGCGUCGACGGGUAGCCGGCCUGAGAGGGUGUACGGCCACAUUGGGACUGAGAUACGGCCCAGACUCCUACGGGAGGCAGCAGUGGGGAAUAUUGCACGAUGGGCGCGAGCCUGAUGCAGCGACGCCGGGUGGGGGAUGACGGCCUUCGGGUUGUAAACUCCUUUCGCUAGGGACGAAGCGCAAGUGACGGUACCUGGAGAAGAAGCACCGGCUAACUACGUG
rnacentral:rRNA from 1 species